rnacentral:rRNA from 1 species
UGACAUCCCUCUGACCGGCCAGAUAACGACGGCCUUUCUUCGGACAGAGGUGACAGGUGGUGCAUGGUUGUCGUCAGCUCGUGUCGUGAGAUGUUGGGUUAAGUCCCGCAACGAGCGCAACCCUUGUCAUUAGUUGCCAGCAUUGAGUUGGGCACUCUAGUGAGACUGCCGGAGACAAUCCGGAGGAAGGUGGGGAUGACGUCAAAUCAUCAUGCCCCUUAUGAUUUGGGCUACACACGUGCUGCAAUGGCGUAAACAAAGGGAAGCAAUCAGGUGACUGUGAGCGAAUCUCAAAAAUAACGUCUCAGUUCGGAUUGUAGUCUGCAACUCGACUACAUGAAGCUGGAAUCGCUAGUAAUCGCGAAUCAGAAUGUCGCGGUGAAUACGUUCCCGGGUCUUGUACACACCGCCCGUCACACCAUGGGAGUUGGGAAUGCCCGAAGUCUGUGACCCAACCGUAAGGAGGGAGCAGCCGAAGGCAGGCUCGAUAACUGGGGUG